CCUACGGGAGGCAGCAGUGGGGAAUAUUGGGCAAUGGACGCAACUCUGACCCAGCAAUGCCGCGUGAAUGAAGACGGUCUUCGGAUUGUAAAACUCUUUUAUCAGGGACGAAGAAGAUGACGGUACCUGGGGAAUAAGCCACGGCAAACUAGGUGCCAGCAGCCGAGGUAAUACAUAGGUGGCACGCGUUGUCCGGAAUGACUGGGGGUACAGGGAGCGUUGGCGGUCUGGUAAGUGGGAAUUGAAAUCCCGGGGCGCAACCCCGGAACUGCUUUCAAGACUGACGGACUUGAGUGUAAGAGGGGUAAGCGGAAUGCCUAGUGUAGCGGUGGAAUGCGUAGAUAUUAGGAGGAACACCAGUGGCGAAGGCGGCUUACUGGAUUAUAACUGACGCUGAGGCUCGAAAGCGUGGGUAUCGAACAGGAUUAGAUACCCGAGUAGUC
rnacentral:rRNA from 1 species